rnacentral:rRNA from 1 species
AUUGAACGCUGGCGGCAGGCCUAACACAUGCAAGUCGAGCGGAGCAGCGGCCGCGUGAGGAAUGGCUAGGAAUCUGCCUGUGCGUGGGGGAUAAGGUCCAGAACUGGGCGCUGUUACUGCAAACUAUCAGAUGAGCAUAGGUCGGAUUGGCUAGUUGGUGGGGUAAAGGUCCACCAAGGAGACGAUCCGUAACUGGGCUGAGAGGAUGAUCAGUCACACUGGAACUGAGACACGGUCCAGACUCCUACGGGAGGCAGCAGUGGGGAAUAUUGGACAAUGGGCGAAAGCCUGAUCCAGCCAUGCCGCGUGUGUGAAGAAGGUCUUCGGAUUGUAAAGCACUUUAAGUUGGGAGGCGUUACCAACAGAAUAAGCACCGGCUAACUUCGUGCCAGCAGCCGCGGUAAUUC